rnacentral:tRNA from 1 species
GAGGACUGGCGGAUCGGCCUGAUCGUCGGCCCCUCGGGCAGCGGCAAGACGACCGUCGCAAGGAGGGCGUAUGGGGAUCAGCUCUUCGAGUCCGCC